GACGAACGCUGGCGGCGUGCCUAAUACAUGCAAGUCGAGCGAGCGGAACUAACAGAUUUACUUCGGUAAUGACGUUAGGAAAGCGAGCGGCGGAUGGGUGAGUAACACGUGGGGAACCUGCCCCAUAGUCUGGGAUACCACUUGGAAACAGGUGCUGAUACCGGAUAAGAAAGCAGAUCGCAUGAUCAGCUUUUAAAAGGCGGCGUAAGCUGUCGCUAUGGGAUGGCCCCGCGGUGCAUUAGCUAGUUGGUAAGGUAAAGGCUUACCAAGGCGAUGAUGCAUAGCCGAGUUGAGAGACUGAUCGGCCACAUUGGGACUGAGACACGGCCCAAACUCCUACGGGAGGCAGCAGUAGGGAAUCUUCCACAAUGGACGCAAGUCUGAUGGAGCAACGCCGCGUGAGUGAAGAAGGUUUUCGGAUCGUAAAGCUCUGUUGUUGGUGAAGAAGGAUAGAGGUAGUAACUGGCCUUUAUUUGACGGUAAUCAACCAGAAAGUCACGGCUAACUACGUGCCAGCAGCCGCGGUAAUACGUAGGUGGCAAGCGUUGUCCGGAUUUAUUGGGCGUAAAGCGAGCGCAGGCGGAAGAAUAAGUCUGAUGUGAAAGCCCUCGGCUUAACCGAGGAACUGCAUCGGAAACUGUUUUUCUUGAGUGCAGAAGAGGAGAGUGGAACUCCAUGUGUAGCGGUGGAAUGCGUAGAUAUAUGGAAGAACACCAGUGGCGAAGGCGGCUCUCUGGUCUGCAACUGACGCUGAGGCUCGAAAGCAUGGGUAGCGAACAGGAUUAGAUACCCUGGUAGUCCAUGCCGUAAACGAUGAGUGCUAAGUGUUGGGAGGUUUCCGCCUCUCAGUGCUGCAGCUAACGCAUUAAGCACUCCGCCUGGGGAGUACGACCGCAAGGUUGAAACUCAAAGGAAUUGACGGGGGCCCGCACAAGCGGUGGAGCAUGUGGUUUAAUUCGAAGCAACGCGAAGAACCUUACCAGGUCUUGACAUCUAGUGUCAUUUGUAGAGAUACAAAGUUCCCUUCGGGGACGCUAAGACAGGUGGUGCAUGGCUGUCGUCAGCUCGUGUCGUGAGAUGUUGGGUUAAGUCCCGCAACGAGCGCAACCCUUGUUAUUAGUUGCCAGCAUUAAGUUGGGCACUCUAAUGAGACUGCCGGUGACAAACCGGAGGAAGGUGGGGAUGACGUCAAGUCAUCAUGCCCCUUAUGACCUGGGCUACACACGUGCUACAAUGGGCAGUACAACGAGAAGCGAGCCUGCGAAGGCAAGCGAAUCUCUGAAAGCUGUUCUCAGUUCGGACUGCAGUCUGCAACUCGACUGCACGAAGCUGGAAUCGCUAGUAAUCGCGGAUCAGCACGCCGCGGUGAAUACGUUCCCGGGCCUUGUACACACCGCCCGUCACACCAUGGGAGUCUGCAAUGCCCAAAGCCGGUGGCCUAACCUUCGGGAAGGAGCCGUCUAAGGCAGGGCAGAUGACUGGGGUGAAA
rnacentral:rRNA from 1 species